rnacentral:lncRNA from 1 species
CCCUGAAUGGCCUUGGGUGAGCCCUUUGCCCUCUCAGCCCUCUGGGCCGCUCACUGUCUCCCCAUUUGUACAGUGAAGAGACUGAGCUGCAGGGCUCCAAGGAUGCUGUCAUCGCUCAACCCCUGUGAGAACCUUGGCCUUGCCCUCUUGGACCCAUUAGAGCCCUCUGAGGCUAGAAGACCUUGGGGGAACAUACUUUCCAUCCCUCUUACCUCUGCCUGUGUUCCACCUCCUACCUGGGCUGGGCCUGGCACCCGACUCCUAGGAUGGUGUGGUACAGGCCCCCACCCCUGCCAGCUGGAAGUCCAGGGCCCAUCACCAGGGACAACCAGGGUCCCAGGGAGGAGAAGAAUGAUGGGAAGGACUGAUGGACCACGUGGAUGCUGCAGCCCUGAGGGCACCAGAAUAAUGUGUUUCUGAUCCCCACUCCCUGCCAAAGUUGUGACACCCUGAAGAGCAAUGUCCUGAGCGAUCCCAAGACCUGAAGCUUCCAUUCACAGAGAGGUGUGCCUCUCUGGACAGGAUGCAGCCUCUCAAAGACCCCUGGUCUGACGCCUGAGACGGCCUACAGCCAUCUGUGAAGAAACUGAGGCCUGGAGGUGGAAGGUGGGCUCCAGGUCCAGAACGCCUGUGUAUUUACGGUUCCAGCCAGACUGGCUCGUGCAUCAGCAGAACAGCGGCCACCUCGCAUGCCAGGAUUGACAGCUCAUGUCUCUGCUGUCCUCUGCUAUCCUGAGUACGUUACUUUGAGUUUUGAAGGCAUCGAGGUCUUUCUUCCAAAUCAUCCGGGUCAAGAGCAAGUAUCCAGAAGAAUGAGUGACAUGUACCCGGAGCUUGGAAAGGGCCAUGGAGCCCGAGGCAGCCAUGUGCUCCAGGACACAUGACGGGGAGGAUGUGUGGGAA